rnacentral:rRNA from 1 species
AGUGAACGCUGGCGGUAGGCCUAACACAUGCAAGUCGAACGGCAGCACAGUAAGAGCUUGCUCUUACGGGUGGCGAGUGGCGGACGGGUGAGGAGUACAUCGGAAUCUACUUUUUCGUGGGGGAUAACGUAGGGAAACUUACGCUAAUACCGCAUACGACCUACGGGUGAAAGCAGGGGAUCUUCGGACCUUGCGCGAUUGAUUGAGCCGAUGUCGGAUUAGCUAGUUGGCGGGGUAAAGGCCCACCCAGGCGACGAUCCGUAGCUGGUCUGAGAGGAUGAGCAGCCACACUGGAACUGAGACACGGUCCAGACUCCUACGGGAGGCAGCAGUGGGGAAUAUUGGACAAUGGGCGCAAGCCUGAUCCAGCCAUACCGCGUGGGUGAAGAAGGCCUUCGGGUUGUAAAGCCCUUUUGUUGGGAAAGAAAAGCAGCAGGUUAAUACCCCGCUGUUCUGACGGUACCCAAAGAAUAAGCACCGGCUAACUUCGUG